UACGGAGGGUGCAAGCGUUAUCCAGAUUCACUGGGUUUAAAGGGUGCGUAGGUGGGCUGGUAAGUCAGUGGUGAAAUCUCCGGGCUUAACUCGGAAACUGCCAUUGAUACUAUCAGUCUUGAAUACCGUGGAGGUCAGUAGAAUAUGUCAUGUAGCGGUGAAAUGCUUAGAUAUGACAUAGAAUACCAAUUGCGAAGGCAGCUGGCUACACGAAUAUUGACACUCAGGCACGAAAGCGUGGGGAUCAAACAGG
rnacentral:rRNA from 1 species